GGACCCUUAGCUCAAUCGGUAGAGCUUUGUACUUAUGCGGUUACCAUAACUUGAGAUGCAAGGGUCCCGAGUUCGAUUCUCGGAGGGUCCA
rfam:Peniophora sp. CONT PENSPscaffold_82_Cont136, whole genome shotgun sequence.